GCAUUGGUGGUUUAGUGGUAGAACUCACCAUACAGGAGACCUGGGUUCGAUUCUUGGCCAAUGCA
rnacentral:tRNA from 1 species